CCUGCCGCCUUAGUUGCUUGCGAAGAUGCGAGGACGCCGGUUGUACCACCUGGCUUUGAGUACCUGGUUGGGCCAGUGCCAGGUCCUGGGCUUCUGCAGUCACUACUACAACAGGAAGCGACGGUGCCUGGUGCACUCGAGGUGGUUGCAGGCCUACCACUGGUUCCUGAUGGCCGCCACUUUGGUGUUCCACUAUCCCUAUUGGAAGUACGCCAUGGUGUACUUUGAAAAGGGAACCUUUCGACGCCAGGACUUCAUAAUGCAGGUCAGUGAGGGAAGUGUGAUGCUCAACCUCCUAACCCUCAUCAUCCACGCUGUCCUGACAGUCCUCUACGAACGGAAAGUGGGAGAGAUCUACAACGAACUGGCCAGGAUACUGAGGAAGGAUCUGAGGCAGAAAGAGCCCACUGCCUCCUUCUACUACAUCGUAUUCUUCGCCAAAUUCCACAACUACCUGCACAACUUCAACUUUGCCCUGGGUGUCCUGAUGGUGUUGGGAAUGCGAACCAUUCGAUGGGCCGAUAUUUUCGCAAAUAUCUAUUUUGUUUACAUUUGUCUGUCCCGGGAGUCGGUGAUCUUCUGCUAUGUCCUGCUACUCCUAGACUUUGGUGAGGCUUUGCGGCUAAACAGCCAACAGGAACAGGACUCGUAUGGCGGUGUUUUGAGGCAGCUCCAGCGACAGGAGCGCCUAAAGACGAUGCUGAGACAAGUGCACAGGAUUUUUGGAUGGCAGGUGGCAGGGAAUAUGAUGUUCUAUCUGUACUUCAACAUGGCAACGAUAUACUUGGGCUACACCUUCAUGAGCCAGCAACCGGAGGCAAUGCGGCUAGGACUCUCCCACAUCAAGAUCCUGUUGACGGCCAUAGGGAUUGUGGUGAUGCUCUCGGAUGGCUUGAUUCUCCAGAUUAUCUGCGAGUAUUUGCUGUUUCAAGGGAAUAGACUAUGUUCCAGUCCCAAAUUUAAGGAGCAGGAGGAGCAGAAUAAACAGGACUUUAUAGCAGCUCAGCGGCAGUUUUUCUGCCAUGGAGUGUAACUGGAAUACCCUGGCCCUCCUCCGAAUCCUACCAGCCACACAGACCAACUUUUAAUCAGGAUAUUGCCAGCGUGUUUCAGGAUCGGCUGAAGAACUACUGUGUGGUCUGGAGUUCCUCCACAUACAUUAGAAAUAUCUUGAUGACUGCAUUUGCACAAGGAUAAUUACCUAACUCCCAUCUGCGAUAUUUCCCCGAGAUCUAAGACACUACUAAGGAGUACAAAUUGGAUCUUCCAAAAGCCUAUUUGGUCGCCGAUCGGUUACAGAAUGCAGAAGUGCUAUCGGGAUGGACCUGUAUAUUCAUAAUUCCAGAAAGCUACCUAAUUUUCACAUUUCGAAAUAUUUUACCAAGUUAUUUUAUAACCAUAUCUAUAUGAAUUAUCAAUUACAUAUGUUCUUAAUGUUUUUAAGCUAGGAAUACUUUACAUUUAUAAAUAAAAUGAGUUAAUAUUUUCCGAUCUUUCCGGAAUAUUCAGGAUUUGUUCCUGAAUAUUUCGGAUUUUGCUAAGGUUUUCAGGAUAUUUUUCGGAUUUUCUCGCAUGCAAUUUAUAACUAUUUGGUUCAUGCUAAAAUAGCAUGCGAGAAAAGUAUAACAAGAGUUUCCUGGUAAUUACGUGCGCGUAUCUCGGUCAUUAGGUGGCCGAUCUGGCAUCGCCGUACAUUUUCG